rnacentral:lncRNA from 1 species
AUGGUCACUCUAAGGUCACCCCAAAGUGACCAAUGGUCACUUCUAGCCACGUUGACCACCUCAGAGUGGCCAUUGGUCAAUCCUGGUCACUCUAAGGCCACCACUGGUCACUCCUGGUCACUCCAAAGUGACCAAUGACCACCAAUGACCACCCAUGGUCACCAAUGUCCAUCCUUGGUGACCAAUGACCACCAAUGACCACCCAUGGUCNAUGACCGUGGUUGAGCAGUGAUGACCUUCAAUGACUACUGAUGACUGUUGAUGACCAACAAUGACCGCGUGUCCCCUCCGGCCAGGCGCGGCUGAGCAUUGAUGACCAUUGAUGACUAUUAAUGACCAUGGUUUACCACUGAUGACCUUCAAUAAUCUUGGUUGACCAUUGAUGAUCAUUGAUGACCAUUAAUUACCUUGGCUGACCAUUAAUGAUAUUAGGAGACCAUUUAAGGCCUUGGUUGACCAUUCAUGACCUUGGUUGACCAUUGAUGACCUUCAAGGACCUUGAUUGACCAUUGAUGACCAUUGAUGACCAUGGUUGACCAUUGAUGACCUUCAAUGACCUUGCUUGACCAUUGAUGACUUUUGAUGCCCAUUGAUGACCUUCAAUGACUUUGGUUGACCAUUGAUGACCAUUGAUGAUCACUGAUGACCAACAAUGACCGUGGUUGACCAAUAAUGACUUUCAAUGACCUUGGUUGACCAUUGAUGAUCUUCAAUGACCACUGAUGACCACUGAUGACCAACGAUGACCGCGUAUCCCCUCCGGCCAGGCCUGGCUGACCAUUGAUGACCAUUGAUGACUAUUAAUGACCUUGGUUGACUGCUAAUGACCAUUAAUGACCACUAAUGACUGUGAUUGACCAUUGAUGACCACUGAUGACCAACGAUGACCGCGUGUCCCCUCCAGCCAGGCCCGGCUGACCAUUGAUGAUCAUUGAUGACUAUUGAUGAUCAUUGAUGAUCUUGGUUGACCAUUAAUGACCUUCAAUGACCAACAAUGACCAUUGAUGACCUUCAAUGGCCUCGGUUGACUAUUGAUGACCAUUGAUGACUAUUGAUGACCCUUGAUGGUCUUGGUUGACCAUUGAUGACCAAUAAUGACCUUCAAUGACUAUGGUUGACCAUUGAUGACCAUUGAUGA